AAUGUUAAAAGAGCCUUUUCUUUCCUCUUUGGCAAUGUCCUAAACAAUAAGAUAAGCUCUCCAUUCUCUCUCUCUUCUCUGAAUGUAAAUAUCUCACUUCCAGUUCCAGUCGCCAUAACCAACACCACCAAAGCUUAGUGGUUCACCUCUCUUGUAAGUAUCUGCUAUCUUUCAAUAUAUUAUACAUACUUUUCUCAGAAGCAAUUUGACGAACGCUAACGACGCAAGUUGAGACUUUUCUCUUUUCCUUUUUUGUGUCUGGACAUUGCUAUCUUGUGUUUUGAUUUUGAGUUGUUUUUGAUUGUUAGCUCUUUUUGAUGGGUCUGUUAGUGGUUUGUUCAACGAGUGUGUAUUGUGGUAGCUUCAGUUAUACUUGUGCAUUUACAGAGACUGUAGUAGCUUCUUCGAUUCAUAGUGAGUUAUUUAAGAGACGAAGCUCUGGAAAUUUAAAGGUUUGGACAUGUGGGCACUUGGGAAAUAGAUUGAAAGUGAGGAAGAAUCGAAUGGGUUUAUGUGGGUUUGUUAUGAAAUUGCCAAAGGAAGGGGUGGAAUUGCUUAAAGAUAAAAAGAAAGUUGUGAAAUCUUCAGAGGAGGUAAUGAGGAUUCUUAAGUCUAGUAAGGACCCAAAUUCUUCUUUUUCUUAUUUCAUGGUUGUGGCUGGGUUACCUAAUGUUGUUCACACCACUGAAACUUGUAAUUACAUGCUUGAGGUGUUGAUGAAUCAUAAGAGGGUGGAGGAUAUGGCUGCUGUUUUUGAUUUCAUGCAAAAGAAAAUUGUUAACAGGAAUUUGAACACUUAUCUUGCUAUUUUUAAAGGUCUUUACAUAAGGGGUGGAAUUCGCCAAGCACCGGCUGCACUUGAGAAGAUGAGAAAGGCUGGGUUUGUUUUGAAUGCGUAUUCAUAUAAUGGGUUGAUUUAUUUGCUUCUCCAAUCUGGGUUUUGUAGGGAGGCUUUGAAGGUUUACAACAGAAUGGUCAUGGAAGAGAUGAAGCCUAGCUUGAAGACUUAUUCAGCACUUAUGGUAGCGUUUGGUAAGAGAAGGGAUACUCAAACUGUAAUGGGUUUGUUAGAAGAGAUGGAACAUUUGGGAUUGAGGCCUAAUAUUUAUACAUUUACCAUAUGCAUUAGAGUUCUUGGAAGGGCUGGAAAAAUCGAUGAGGCUUAUGCCGUAUUGAAGAGAAUGGACGAAGAGGGAUGUGGACCGGAUGUUAUUACUUAUACAGUUCUCAUUGAUGCUCUUUGUAACGCAGGUAAAGUUGAUAAUGCAAAGGCAUUGUUUGUAAAAAUGAAAGCUAGCCGUCACAAACCUGAUCGGGUAACUUACAUUACUUUGUUGGACAAGUUAAGUGAUUGUGGAGAGUUGGAAACUGUAAAAGAAAUUUGGGAUGAAAUGGAAUCUGAUGGUUAUGCACCUGAUGUAGUUACAUUCACCAUUCUUAUCAAUGCUUUAUGCAAAAGAGGUAAUGUUGACAAAGCAUUUGAUACUCUUGAUGACAUGAAGGAGAAAGGGAUCUCACCAAAUCUUCAUACUUACAACACCUUGAUUGGGGGACUACUAAGGGAAAGUAGAUUGGAUGAGGCUCUAAAACUUUUUGGUAAUAUGGAAUCCCUGGGUGUCAUGCCUACAGCUUAUACAUACAUCCUGUUCAUUGAUUACCAUGGAAAGUCAGGUAAUUCUGUCAAAGCUAUUGAGACCUUUGAGCAGAUGAAAAGUAAAGGCAUCGUGCCAAAUAUUGUAGCUUGCAAUGCUUCUUUAUAUAGUCUUGCUAAAGCAGGUAGAAUUCAAGAAGCAAAAGAAAUUUUUGAUGGCCUGAAAAUUAGUGGGCUUACUCCUAAUUCGGUAACUUACAACCUGAUGAUGCGAUGCUAUAGUAAGGUAGGGAGGGUAGAUGAAGCCAUUAAGUUACUUUCUGAUAUGGUUGAGAAAGGGUGUGAACCUGAUGUAAUCAUAGUUAAUUCUUUAAUUGACAUGCUUUACAAGGCUGACCGAUUUGACGAAGCAUGGCAAAUGUUUUAUAGGCUGAAAGACAUGAGGCUCACUCCUUCAGUUGUGACCUUCAACACAUUGCUUGCUGGUUUAAGGAAAGAAGGCCAAGUCCAAAAAUCAAUUGAAAUAUUUGAGAGUAUGGUAGAGCACGGCUGUCCUCCAAACACAAUAACUUUUAACACUGUCCUGGAUUGCCUUUGUAAGAAUGAUGAAGUGCCAUUUGCAUUGGAAAUGCUUUGUAAAAUGUCAACAAUGAACUGCCGUCCUGAUGUCUUUACUUACAACACCAUCAUUUAUGGAUUAAUCAAAGAAAACAGAGUUAAUGAUGCAUUUUGGUUUUUCCAUCAGAUGAAGAAAUCUCUAUAUCCUGAUCAUGUAACUAUGUUCACCAUCAUUCCGGGUGUCAUAAAGGCUGGCCGGAUUGAGGAUGCAUUCAAGAUCGUCAAGAGCUUUGUGUACCAGGUUGGGGUUCACGUAGACGGGCCCUUUUGGGAAGAUUUGAUUGGAGGGACACUGGUUGAAGCUGACACUGAUACAGUCAUUUUAUUUGUUGAAAAGCUAGUAUCCGAUAAAAUUUGCCUGGAUGACUCUGUACUUGUACCUCUAAUAAGGGUGUUGUGUAAGUGUAAGAAAGCUCUUCAUGCAGAAUAUUUGUUUGAAAAAUUCUGUAGGACUUUAGGAUUAAAGCCUACUUUGGAAUCAUUCAACUGUUUGAUUGAAGGGCUUCUUAGAGUUCAUAUUACUGACAAGGCUUGGGAUCUUUUCAAUGAAAUGAAAAGGGUUGGUUGUACCCCUGAUGCUUUCACCUAUAACUUAUUACUCGAUGCACAUGGGAAGUCUGGGAAAAUUACUGAACUCUUUGGAUUAUAUGAAGAGAUGUGUAGUAGGGGUUGCAAGCCUAACACAGUCACUUAUAAUAUACUCAUUUCCAGUUUAGUGAAAUUUAAUAGCGUGGAUAAGGCUAUUGGUUUUUACUAUGAUUGCGUAGGUCGUGAUUUCUCUCCCUCUCCUAGUACAUAUGGACCUCUCAUUGAUGGACUUUUCAAGUCAGGAAGACAUGAAGAAGCAAUGCUUUUCUUUGAGGAAAUGGUAGAAUAUGGAUGCAAGCCUAAUUGUGCGAUUUUCAAUAUUCUUAUAAAUGGGUAUGGGAAAGCAGGAGAUGUAGAAACAGCCUGUCUGUUGUUUGAAAGAAUGGUUAAAGAAGGAAUAAGACCGGACUUAAAGUCUUACACGAUUCUUGUGGAUUCUUUCUGCCUUUUAGGAAAAAUUGAUGGUGCUCUGUAUUACUUUGACGAACUAAAGCAGGCUGGCCUUAGUCCUGAUUCAGUUUGUUAUAACCUUUUGCUUAAUGCACUUGGAAGAUCACAAAGGGUUGAAGAAGCUCUAUCUCUCUACGCCGAAAUGCGAAGCAGAGGAAUUUUUCCUGAUCUUUACACAUACAACUCACUAAUUCUUAGUCUUGGGAUUGCUGGAAUGGUAGAGGAAGCAGGGAGUAUGUAUGAAGAACUACAACUUAAGGGCUUUGAACCUGAUGUUUUCACCUACAAUGCUCUCAUUCGAGCCUACAGCACAUCAGGGAAUCAAGACCAUGCCUACGCAAUUUACAAGAAAAUGAUGGUUGGUGGUUGUGAUCCAAAUGUGGGAACGUUUGCACAACUUCCUAAUCAAACUUGAGCGUCUCACUUCAUUGGAAUACUUACGUGCAAUCUAUUAUCAGGUAGUGUAAAACGUCAUGGACUUUCGAUGUUGUUAUGAGAGGAACACUUGCAUAUGUUUAACAAGUUCAUGGAUUGUCAAUGCAUCUGUACUUGACAACAUCUUAUGCGGAUCAGCUUUUGCUUUUGCAAGAUAUGAGAAGGUGCACUGCUGUGCUGCAUGCCCUUGACUUGAUACCUACACAAGUCAUAAAGGAAGAUGCAGAAAUUGUGUACAGACAAGAGAAUUGGCCCUCAUAUCAUGAAUGAAAUUUUGGCAGCAAUGGACAAGUUUCAGUAUCUUCCAGUCCAAGGUCCAAAGUUUCGAAAAGCAUCACUACUUGGAGUGGUAUAAGCAUUAGAUAGUUCCAAAUUCAUUUUGAAAGACAAAGUUUCAUUUCAUGUUAUCAUAUACUUGAUAGUGUAUACAUGAAUUUGUAUUUUUGAAAAGAAGAAAAAUUAAAUAGUGUGGCAUAUCUUAAAGUAUA